rnacentral:rRNA from 1 species
UACGUAGGGUGCGAGCGUUGUCCGGAGUUUAUUGGGCGUAAAGGGCUCGUAGGCGGCCUGUCGCGUCGGGAGUGAAAAGCCCACUGCUUAACGGUGGGUCUGCUUUUCGGUACGGGCGGGCUAGAGUAUGGCAGGGGAGACUGGAAUUCCUGGUGUAGCGGUGGAAUGCGCAGAUAAUCAGGAGGAACACCGGUGGCGAAAGGCGGGUCUCUGGGCCAUUACUGACGUGAGGAGCGAAAGCGUGGGGAGCGAAACAGG